rnacentral:rRNA from 1 species
UACAGAGGUCUCAAGCGUUGUUCGGAUUCAUUGGGCGUAAAGGGUGCGUAGGCGGCGCGGUAAGUCGGGUGUGAAAUCUUGGAGCUUAACUCCGAAACUGCAUUCGAUACUGCCGUGCUUGAGUACUGGAGGGGAGACUGGAAUUUACGGUGUAGCAGUGAAAUGCGUAGAUAUCGUAAGGAAGACCAGUGGCGAAGGCGAGUCUCUGGACAGUUACUGACGCUGAGGCACGAAGGCCAGGGGAGCAAACGGG